rnacentral:rRNA from 1 species
AGAACGAACGCUGGCGGCACGCCUAACACAUGCAAGUCGAGCGCCCAGCAAUGGGAGCGGCGGACGGGUGAGUAACACGUGGGAAUAUGCCUUUCGGUACGGAACAACUCAGGGAAACUUGAGCUAAUGCCGUAUACGCCCUUACGGGGAAAGAUUUAUCGCCGAAAGAUUAGCCCGCGUCUGAUUAGCUAGUUGGUGAGGUAAUGGCUCACCAAGGCUUCGAUCAGUAGCUGGUUUGAGAGAACGACCAGCCACACUGGGACUGAGACACGGCCCAGACUCCUACGGGAGGCAGCAGUUAGGAAUUUUCCGCAAUGGGCGAAAGCCUGACGGAGCAACGCCGCGUGAGUGAUGAAGACCUUCGGGUUGUAAAGCUCUGUCGGAGGGGAAGAACACAAUGACGGUACCUCCAAGAAAGCCCCGGCUAACUACGUGCCAGCAGCCGC